GGUUAUGGCUCAGAGGUAGAGUGCUCGCCUAGCAUGUGUGAGGCACUGGGUUUGAUCCUCAGCACCA
rnacentral:tRNA from 1 species